rnacentral:rRNA from 1 species
CAGGCUUAACACAUGCAAGUCGAGGGGCAGCAUGGUCUUAGCUUGCUAAGGCCGAUGGCGACCGGCGCACGGGUGAGUAACGCGUAUCCAACCUGCCUUACACUCUUGGACAGCCUUCUGAAAGGGAGAUUAAUACAAGAUGUUAUCAUGAGUAAGCAUUUUCGCAUGAUUAAAGGUUUACCGGUGUAAGAUGGGGACGCGUUCCAUUAGAUAGUAGGCGGGGUAACGGCCCACCUAGUCUUCGAUGGAUAGGGGUUCUGAGAGGAAGGUCCCCCACAUUGGAACUGAGACACGGUCCAAACUCCUACGGGAGGCAGCAGUGAGGAAUAUUGGUCAAUGGACGAGAGUCUGAACCAGCCAAGUAGCGUGAAGGAUGAAGGUUCUAUGGAUUGUAAACUUCUUUUAUACGGGAAUAAACGAAUCCACGCGUGGAUUUUUGCAUGUACCGUAUGAAUAAGGAUCGGCUAACUCCGUGCCAGCAGCCGCGGUAAUACGGAGGAUCCGAGCGUUAUCCGGAUUUAUUGGGUUUAAAGGGAGCGUAGAUGGGUUGUUAAGUCAGUUGUGAAAGUUUGCGGCUCAACCGUAAAAUUGCAAUUGAUACUGGCAGUCUUGAGUACAGUUGAGGUAGGCGGAAUUCGUGGUGUAGCGGUGAAAUGCUUAGAUAUCACGAAGAACUCCGAUUGCGAAGGCAGCUUACUAACCUGUAACUGACAUUGAUGCUCGAAAGUGUGGGUAUCAAACAGGAUUAGAUACCCUGGUAGUCCACACGGUAAACGAUGAAUACUCGCUGUAGGCGAUAUACAGUCUGCGGCCAAGCGAAAGCAUUAAGUAUUCCACCUGGGGAGUACGCCGGCAACGGUGAAACUCAAAGGAAUUGACGGGGGCCCGCACAAGCGGAGGAACAUGUGGUUUAAUUCGAUGAUACGCGAGGAACCUUACCCGGGCUUAAAUUGCAACCGAAUAUGGCGGAAACGCUAUAGCUAGCAAUAGCGGUUGUGAAGGUGCUGCAUGGUUGUCGUCAGCUCGUGCCGUGAGGUGUCGGCUUAAGUGCCAUAACGAGCGCAACCCUUGCCGAUAGUUACUAACAGGUUAUGCUGAGGACUCUGUCGGGACUGCCAUCGUAAGAUGUGAGGAAGGUGGGGAUGACGUCAAAUCAGCACGGCCCUUACGUCCGGGGCUACACACGUGUUACAAUGGGGGGUACAGAGGGCUGCUACCACGCAAGUGGAUGCCAAUCCCAAAAACCUCUCUCAGUUCGGAUUGAAGUCUGCAACCCGACUUCAUGAAGCUGGAUUCGCUAGUAAUCGCGCAUCAGCCACGGCGCGGUGAAUACGUUCCCGGGCCUUGUACACACCGCCCGUCAAGCCAUGGGAGCCGGGGGUACCUGAAGUGCGUAACCGCAAGGAGCGCCCUAGGGUAAAACUGGUGACUGGGG